rnacentral:lncRNA from 1 species
UAAAAGGAGAUUUUUGAUAUACAUAGGUUAUAACUUUUUUUCCUUCUCUUAAAGGUCCUAUAGUUGCUGUGGAAAUCAAUAAACAAUGGCAUCUAAGAAAUUUGCUGUUAAAUUUUUAUUCGACCUGUGGUGAUGCAGAAUGGCAGACGAGUUGCAAAGUAUCAGGCCAAUGAUGUGUCCCCAGAA